rnacentral:lncRNA from 10 species
UUAAAAUGUAGCAUAAAAUCAUCUUGAUACAUAAUAUGCUACAAAUAUACCAUUCAUACACUAAGACUAUAUCUAGAAUAUAUCAAGAACAUCAAGUAUAGAGGUUCAGUAAGUAAUGAGUAGUUUUUAAACAUCUGUAUAUUAAAUAAAAAUAGGUAACUGCUGUGAAUCCUCAAUUGAAAAUAACUGGCCUAGAAAAUGCUAGAUUUACAUUAAAAAAGUAAAGAUAUGACUAACUUAACAUUUUUAGAAAUAACAACUUAUGACUGAUAACUAUACCAUUUUUAUCUAAUAUCAGGAAAAACAGCAAGACUGAUAUAUAGGAUGAUAUCAUGGUGUAAUCCCAGCACUUUGGGAGACCGAGGCAGGCGAAUCAUGAGGUCAAGAGAUGGAGACCAUCCUGGCCAACACGGUGAAACCCCAUCUCUACUAGAAAUACAAAAAUUAGCUGGGUUUGGUGGCACGCACCUAUAGUCCCAGCUACUCGGGAGGCUGAAGCAGGAGAAUCACAUGAACCCGAGAGGCAGAGAAUACGGUGAGCUGAGAUCAUGCCACACCACUGCACUCAAGCCUGGGUGACAGAGGAAGACUCUGUCAAAAUAAAAAAAAAAAAAAAGAUGAAUAAUGAUUUAACGUGAUUUUACAAACGUACAUUUUUAAUAAUCUUAGGCAUUUCAUAGAAGUAACACUAGCUUAUUUAUUAAGCAUACUUAAUAAAUAACACAAGUUUAGUUAUUAAGUAACACUAGCUUAUUUAAUCAGUAGGUAAAAUAAAAAUCUACUUUUGUAUUAUACUGAACACUGAGAAAUCAGAGAAGAUACAUCUGCAAUUAUUAAGCAAAACAUAUUAAGCUAAUCUAGCCAAGGAUUCACCUAAAGUAUGUAAACUUGAAUUUUUAAAACAUUUCUGAAUUACAAGAAUAACUUUUUUUUUAUUAUUUCUUAGGAAGUUUGAAACUUCCAAGCCACAUUAGUGCUUAUUUAUUUCUAUACCUACUAGAAUAGAACUUCUUUAAGAGAUUAUAUAAUCAAAUUUGGAAAUAUAUUUAGAGAAGAGAAAAUAUUAUAUACUCGUAAAAUGAAGGCCUUUCUAUGUUAGAGACACAUAAACAUAAAAAUAUACAGGAGAGGAAAUUUAUAACUUCAAUUCUAAAAUUUUAGUCCUUUGUCAAGCAUAAACACAGAAAUACAAACUUACCAAUUCAUAUAUAUACUUCCACUUCCUGGUAGGCAUGUAACUCUCAAUUGAUCUGAUCUCAAGAUAAACAAAGAGACAAACUAAAAAGAUUAACAAACCAUGUUCUCUGUCUUUCUGCCGACAGAUACAAGAUCUCUGUAAACCUUCAAUCAAUUUACAUAAAAAGCCAAAUGAUUAGAUAAUAAAGCCAAAAGACGCUAGCACCAGAAAUCAAGUAAAAAAUCAGGACCCAAAAUUAAUUAUUUAUCACCCAACAAAAGAGUCAGUAGCAUGAAAAGAGCUGAGUUCACUGUUGAGUUCUAGACCUUCAGGAGCACAAAAAAAGAGUUGCCAAGAGGCUUCAUUUACUUGAGGUGAGUUCAUUGUGUUAUGAAGGCAGGGUCAGAGCCUACCUGAGUCAUGGUAUGAAGACUGCGAAGGACAAACUGCACCAGACAAUUGAAGAUAUUAUUUUUUUCAGGAUGUUACAACAGAGUUAUUAUACACUUAUAAGUGACUUCGCAAAGAAAAUGAGGGUGGCCUUAUGGGAGUCAUGAGGAAAAAUAGACAUAGGUCUUUUUCUCUGAGUACACAACAACAAAGUAGUCCUUUCCAGUUAGCCAUUUCUCAGAACACAGAGGACUGGAAACAUCUCUCGACCAUUGCUGUUUUCUAGUGAUACAAGACUGAGAUAAAAUUAAACAUUGUCAGUUUUUUAAUGCCUUCAUGUAAUAUUGAAUUUUUGAUUCUGUAACUUUAUUGACACUGUUUAUUCUUUGAAAGUCCUGUAUGCCCUGACAUAUGAAAGCUUCCUGACAGAACUUUCUUACCUGUAUCUUCUUGGGUUCAGUUUAUCAUAGAACAACUUUAAUAUCAAUGUAAUAACUUUAGUUCACUCACUGAAAACGGAUAGUGUGAAAUCAGACCAAAAGUAAUGCAAUGCAUUUGUCCUGAGAUUUUAUUUUCACAUCAUUUAUUUUUCCCUCCUCCUUCUCCACCUCCUU